GUCACCACGAACAAAUUUCCUUUUCAUAUACUGAUUUGUUUUUAUCAGUCGGUCUCUGGGUCAAACUUCGUCCUCCUGCAUCCGCAGGAAGGUUUUCCUUCUGGGGGUGUAAUCGCUGCUUUUCGUCUUCUCCGUUCAAUCGUACGUCACUAUUUAAAGCUUUUAUGGGUCCUUUUUUUGUUGUUGAAAAGUUGUUAGCUUUUGGUUAAAACUUCUGAUGAUUCUCCCUCGAGACACCGUGCUCCGGCUAAUAUACUGUUGAUAUCGGGCGAUGGAGGUUUCGCAUUCACGAUUCAGCUCCUUACUCAAAGAGGCUACAACUGUAUGCUCUCCUACAUCAGUGCCUCAGCUUCAAAUCUGCUUGUCGGACUUGGGAGCAUGCACUCGGAAUGGAGGACUCUCCUUCGCAUGUGAUGGAUGAUGGUGAGCUCAGGUUGAUCGGAAAAAUAAGAGUCUCUGGUUUAGAAUAUCUCAGCCGGUUUAAUAAUUGAUAAUGUGAUUUCGUAUUCAACAUUACGUAAGGCUACUUUACCCAUUUGGGGGAAUAACUCUGAAGAGAUUAUU